rnacentral:lncRNA from 1 species
AGCUUUCACGACUAGUGCAACAACCGUGGUAGCUUUGGACGACAUAUCUACCGAGUCCGGCAAUGAAGCACUGACUGUCAAUCAAACAACGGAUCAAGUGUCAACCGAAGCAGUUUCCAGCAUUGCACCUACCGACCCAACCACUGAAGUAUUUUCAACCGGACAUGCCACAUCUACAGCAGUUACCGGCGAUGCAUCUAUUGAGGCUACCACAG